CGGAAGUGGCUCAGUGGUAGAGCAUCACCUUGCCAAGGUGAGGGUCGGGGGUUCGAAUCCCCUCUUCC
rnacentral:tRNA from 1 species